AAUGUUUUCAUUAAUCAAGAACGAAAGUUAGGAGGUUGAAGGCGAUCAGAUACCGCCCUAGUUCUAACCGUAAACUAUGCCUACUAGAUGUAUGAAUUAUUAGUUAUAAUAAUUUAUGCAUCUUCUCGGAAACGAAAGUCUUUCGGUUCCGGGGGAAGUAUGGUUGCAAAGCUGAAACUUAAAGGAAUUGACGGAAGGGCACCACCAGGAGUGGAGCCUGCGGCUUAAUUUGACUCAACACGGGAAAACUCACCCGGGCCGGACACUAUAAGGAUUGACAGAUUGAUAGCUCUUUCAUGAUUUAGUGGUUGGUGGUGCAUGGCCGUUCUUAGUUCGUGGAUAUGAUUUGUCUGGUUGAUUCCGAUAACGAGCGAGACUUUUAUGUUAUAUUAAAUAUUAUUAUUUUGUUUAUUUUAAUAUAAAUAAUUAAUAUUUUAAUAACAGAUUAAUAGUGUUUAACUAUUUGAGAGAGAGCGAUAACAGGUCUGUGAUGCCCUUAGAUGUCCGGGGCUGCACGCGCGCUACAAUGUAGUGAUC
rnacentral:rRNA from 1 species